rnacentral:rRNA from 1 species
GGGAUUGCCCUAGUAACGGCGAGUGAAGCGGCAACAGCUCAAAUUUGAAAUCUGGCCCUAGGCCCGAGUUGUAAUUUGCAGAGGAUGCUUUUGGCGAAGUGCUUACCGAGUCCCCUGGAAUGGGGCGCCACAGAGGGUGAGAGCCCCGUAUGGUUUGCCACUGAACCUUUGUAAAGCUCCUUCGACGAGUCGAGUAGUUUGGGAAUGCUGCUCUAAAUGGGAGGUAAAUUUCUUCUAAAGCUAAAUACCGGCCAGAGACCGAUAGCGCACAAGUAGAGUGAUCGAAAGAUGAAAAGCACUUUGAAAAGAGGGUUAAAUAGCACGUGAAAUUGUUGAAAGGGAAGCGCUUGUGACCAGACUUGUGCCGGGCGGAUCAUCCAGCGUUCUCGCUGGUGCACUCUGCCCGGCUCAGGCCAGCAUCGGUUUUCGCCGGGGGACAAAAGCUUCGGGAACGUAGCUCCCUUCGGGGAGUGUUAUAGCCCGUUGCAUAAUACCCCGGCGGGGACCGAGGACCGCGCUUCGGCAAGGAUGCUGGCGUAAUGGUCAUCAGCGACCCGUCUUGAAACACGGACCGAGGAGUCAAGCAUUAGUGCGAGUGUUUGGGUGUAAAACCCGCACGCGUAAUGAAAGUGAACGUAGGUGAGAGCUUCGGCGCAUCAUCGACCGAUCCUGAUGUUUUCGGAUGGAUUUGAGUAGGAGCAUUAACGCUUGGACCCGAAAGAUGGUGAACUAUACUUGAAUAGGGUGAAGCCAGAGGAAACUCUGGUGGAGGCUCGCAGCGGUUCUGACGUGCAAAUCGAUCGUCAAAUUUG